CCCGCUGAAUUUAAGCAUAUCAAUAAGCRGAGGAAAAGAAACUAACAAGGAUUCCCCUAGUAACGGCAAGCGAACCGGGA
rnacentral:ncRNA from 1 species